UACGUAGGGCGCAAGCGUUGUCCGGAAUUAUUGGGCGUAAAGAGCUCGUAGGCGGCCAGUUGCGUCUGCUGUGAAAUCCCGGGGCUCAACCCCGGGCGUGCAGUGGAUACGGGCUGGCUAGAGGCAGGCAGGGGAGAACGGAAUUCCCGGUGUAGCGGUGAAAUGCGCAGAUAUCGGGAGGAACACCUGUGGCGAAAGCGGCGCACUGGACCACAACUGACGCUGAGGCGCGAAAGCUAGGGGAGCAAACAGG
rnacentral:rRNA from 1 species